CCUACGGGAGGCUGCAGUGGGGAAUAUUGGACAAUGGGGGGAACCCUGAUCCAGCCAUGCCGCGUGUGUGAAGAAGGCCCUCGGGUUGUAAAGCACUUUCAGUGAGGAAGAACGCCUGGUGGUUAAUACCCAUCAGGAAAGACAUCACUCACAGAAGAAGCACCGGCUAACUACGUGCCAGCAGCCGCGGUAAUACGGAGGGUGCGAGCGUUAAUCGGAAUUACUGGGCGUAAAGCGCGCGUAGGUGGCUUGAUAAGCCGGUUGUGAAAGCCCCGGGCUCAACCUGGGAACGGCAUCCGGAACUGUCAAGCUAGAGUGCAGGAGAGGAAGGUAGAAUUCCCGGUGUAGCGGUGAAAUGCGUAGAGAUCGGGAGGAAUACCAGUGGCGAAGGCGGCCUUCUGGACUGACACUGACACUGAGGUGCGAAAGCGUGGGUAGCAAACAGGAUUAGAUACCCGAGUAGUC
rnacentral:rRNA from 1 species